rnacentral:snRNA from 1 species
AGAGACGACCCUGACUUCACC